UACGUAGGGGCAAGCGUUGUCCGGAAUCAUUGGGCGUAAAGAGCGUGUAGGCGGUCCGGUAAGUCGGCUGUGAAAGUCCAGGGCUCAACCCUGGGAUGCCGGUCGAUACUGCCGGACUAGAGUUCGGAAGAGGCGAGUGGAAUUCCCGGUGUAGCGGUGAAAUGCGCAGAUAUCGGGAGGAACACCUAUGGCGAAGGCAGCUCGCUGGGACGUUACUGACGCUGAGACGCGAAAGCGUGGGAGCAAACAGG
rnacentral:rRNA from 1 species